rnacentral:lncRNA from 1 species
AAAAAACCCCCUUUGACUGUAAUUUUCCUUUACCUACCCAAAUCCUAUAAAACAGCCCCACCCUUAUCUCUCUUUGCUGACUCUCUUUUCAGACUCAGCCAGCCUGCACCCAGGUGAAAUAAACAGCCAUGUUGCUCACGCAAAGCCUGUUUGGUGGUCUCUUCAAACAGACGUGCAUGAAAUUUGGUGCCCUGACUCGGAUCGGGGGACCUCCCUUGGGAGAUCAAUCCCCUGUACUUCUGUUCUUUGCUCCAUGAGAAAGAUCCACCUAUGACCUCAGGUCCUCAGACCAACCAGCCCAAGGAACAUCUCACCAAUUUUAAAUCAGACUGUACCCUGAUCUGGAAUUUAAGUAAGAAAGAUGAGUUUUACUCUUGCUUAUAUGUGAAAUAUACUAAGACAGUGCUUUUAAAACUUCAUUGCACUUACAAGGCAAUCUUGCUAAAAUGUGUAUUCUAUUCCAGUUUUUCAAGUGGUACCUGAGAUUCAGCACUUCUAAAAAGCUCCAAGGUGAUGAAGGUGCUGCUAGUUGGAGGCCAUACUUUGAGUUGCCAGAUGCUAAAAAUUCAACAGAUGGGGUAUGUAAGCAGAUAGUGUAGCAUAUUGAAAACAACUCUCAGUUUGAAUCAGAAGCCUGGGUCUGUGAUAUUAUGACACUAACUAGCUUAAUAUUUUGUGGAUUAUUGUGCAUGAAAUAUAUCCAUUUAAAUAUCAUACUUUCAAUUUAAAUUAUGGGUUUCAACUUUGCCAGGCAAAUAUAAUCAACAAUAUAUUCAAUAGUAUGCCACAGCUAAAGACACAAAUGAAAACAAUGAUCUCAGACUUUUGAUCCAGGUGCCAAGUUAGAAAAAGAAGUUAAAACAGUGUAGUUUAUUUCUGUUCAAUGUCCUGUAUAGGUGGAAACUAAUUUCAGGGUUAAUUUUUGGUUAAACAACUAGCUUGGAAAUUUAUAAUUAUUUGGGAUUGAGGACCAAACAAGGUGAGGCACGAUAAAGAAAUUAGAAGGGGAUCGCUAUGAAAAUCAAGAUGAAUAAAACGAAGGGAGUGUUUACGGGGAAGGACAAAAUCGAGACUGAGCAAGCUGUAGAGCAUUGAUUCUAAGUGCCAGGGAUGGCUUAUAAUCAGUACAGUUGUUGUGGUUUCUGGAUGCUUAUUUAAUGUUUUCUUAUCAAAAGAAUAAUUCUCUCAUGUGUAGUUUCUGAAAUGUGACAGCACUCCAGCACUUUGUUCUAAAGCAAGGAUAGUCUUCUCUCCCCACAGAAUGGUUUAUUAUUGUCAUCAUCAUCAUCAUCACCAUUACCAUCUCAAUUAUUUAAAAUAUUUUCUACUUUACUAAAAUUUAUAUGAAGUGCUGAAUAUAUAAUUUCCUCUUUAAGUACCCAUUUUAUGAUUUUGAUUUCUAAAGCAAUUUCUCCUGACCUUUUAGUUAUAUUUUCUUCUACAAAGAGGCAAAGUUUAAUUUUUUCUCUCAUGUGAAAUACACUCCAAUCUAUAUUUAGUAGAAGGUAGCUGUGGAAACAUUAGCUAUGAAUGUUUUGAUUCUUGUAAAUUAUAAAAUAAAAGUAUAAUAACGUAGGCUUAUUCUUUAAGUUCCACUGGGGAGAGAUUUUUGGUUUAAUAUUUUAGAGGUAUUUAAUUUCUAAUAGAGGAAAAUACUUGAAGAGAGGGGAGUUGUAAUACAUUUAUCUGCAUGUAUCUUCUUGUUAGCUGUGAUGAAAUAUUACAACAGGACCAAUAUAAUUAUUUAGUAGGAUUUAAUGGCAUCAAGAUUACAGCAAGAGUGUCGUCAAUGUCUGAGAGAAAAGGCACAGGACAAUUCAUGUAAUCUACUUUUUACCUCCUCACUAUGCCAGCAGCACACUUGGAGAGGAAUGUUAUAAUGGAAGAAGCUGCCCAGUCACUGAUUAAAAUGUAAGAAACUGUGCUCCAUUGCAGACAUCUCCUGUUAUGCGUUCAUGAGCAUAUAUGUGUUCUAGUAUGUGUAACCUUUAAGACAAUGAUGGAAUUUGAACCAUACUUUAGGACUGACACAGGUAAGAGAGUCUUGUAUUAAUAAGCUUCAAAAUAUUUUAUUGUAACUUAAAUUACCUCAGCAAUGAUACUGGGGUAGUCAGAAAAAAAAUUCACCUAAUUUUGAACUGAUUUUUUUUAAACUUUAGUAGCUUUGUGUUAGACAGAUAAUGUAAUCUGAGUUUCAAUUAACUUAUUUAUGGUAUGGUAGUAAAACUACCCUCUACACAGUGCUCUUGAUAGAGGUUUACUGAAACCUUUUCUCCAGACAAAAUCUGACAAAAUCUGAUAGAAUUUGUUGUCAGCAGAUGAACAUAACAGGAAAUGUUAAAAGAAGUUCCUCCCUGAAGAUGAAGAAAAAUGAAGCCAGAUGGAAAAUUGAAUUUACACAAGGAAUGACAGUGUCUAGAAUGAGAGUGGCUUCUACGCUUGGACCGACACAUGGAAAAUGGAAUCCCUUCUCCUGCUCCUUGCACUUCUGUAGGCACAGCUGCUGUUGCUACCUCAGGAGGCUGGGGCAGUAGAGCUGAAUGGCUGCCUUUCUGGGGCUGUUAGUUGUGAGUGUACCCCCACAUGUGGUAUGGCCUCCAUGCAUGGACUGUCCCAUGAAAGAUGGGUGUCCUCACCCUGUGCAGUGCUGCUGCUACUGAGAGUGGCAAGCCUGGGAGCUGCAUGUCUGAGACUGGGUGUCAACCCCUUACCACGUCACCACCAACACCAGUGUACACCACUCAGGACCAAGAGAAUCAUCCUGCUGCUGCUAUCUAUCACCUAUAUACCAUGCUUCUAUCACCCAUAUACCAUGCAAACUGCUCAGGACCCAAGAAUCUGCUCACCUACCUAGAUGAAUGUUGCCACUCAGGCCAUCUGAGCAAGCUAUCUGGAGGCUCAAGAAUCAGUCCAUCUGAUUCCAUUAACAUUGAUGACAGUGUAUUCUACCCUGGAGCACAAAAACAGGCAUGUUUACCCACUGCUGCCACCAUGGGGGUCUGAAAACUGGCCUACCUGGCAUCCUUGUUUGCCGCAAAAUUUUACCAUAGCCUCCACUAAUAACUGCACCCUGAACAACCUGAGGAAAUAACAGAUACCACUCAGGCUGUCACAGCUGAAAAAUCAUUCAGGGAUUACACUGUCUCAUGCACCCAGAAUAAAAGCUAAAAGGUCUUACCCAACCAACACUAUUAAUAUAUUUUCAGGAAAAAGUACCCACCUACAAAAGAAAAUUUGAAAAAAAAAUUAAAAAGCAAGAAAAUGUGACACCUACAAAAGGACAUAAUAAUUCCAGCAACAGAUCACAAUAUAAAAGAAAUUCAUGAAAUUCCAAAAAAAGAAUUCAAAAUUAUGAUACAAAAGCUCAGUGAAAUAAAAAAGAAUUCUGAAAAACAAUAUGAGGAAAUCAGAAAAAGAAUCCAAGAUAUGAAUGAUAAAUUUACCAAAGAGAUAGAUAUCAUAACAAAGAACCAAGCAGAAAUUCUAGAAUAAAGAACUCCGUGAAUGAAAUACAAAAUAUAUUUGAAAGCUUCAAAGACAGGCUAGAUGAAGCAGAAGAAUAUCAGAACUUAAAGACAUGUCUCUUGAAAUAACCCAGUCUGAAAACAAUAAAGAGAAAAAGAAUUUUAAAAGUAUAAAAAGUAUAAGUCAGACAACAAUCAAAAAAAAUAAUUUUAAAAAUAUAAAUAGGGGGCCAAAUGGCUUACUAUAAACAGCUGCCAUUACAGGUUCCCACCAAGAAGAACCAAAAUAGCAUGUGAAUCCUGCACUGGCAACUGAGGUAUCCAUGUUCUAUCAUCAGGACUGACUAGUAGGUUGACAUGACCCAUGGAGAGCAAAGAAAAGAGGGGUGAUGCGAUGGCUCACCUGAGAGCCACACCUGGCAAGGGGAGCCGCAACCCCCAGCCAAGGGAGGCAGUGAGUGAUUGUGCUACCCAGCUUGGUAAACCAUGCUUUUUCAAUGGAUCUGUGC